rnacentral:ncRNA from 1 species
CCCGAAAGAUGGUGAACUAUGCCUGAGCGGGGCGAAGCCAGAGGAAACUCUGGUGGAGGCUCGAAGCGAUACUGACGUGCAAAUCGUUCGUCUGACUUGGGUAUAGGGGCGAAAGACUAAUCUGACCAUCUAGUAGCUGGUUCCCUCCGAAGUUUCCCUCAGGAUAGCUGGAGCCCAUUACGAGUUCUAUCAGGUAAAGCCAAUGAUUAGAGGCAUUGGGGACGCAACGUCCUCGACCUAUUCUCAAACUUUAAAUAGGUAGGAUGGCUCGGC